UCCACGCCGUAAACGAUGAUAACUAGUUGUUCGGUCACUUGGUGACUGAGUGACGCAGCUAACGCAUUAAGUUAUCCGCCUGGGGAGUACGGUCGCAAGAUUAAAACUCAAAGGAAUUGACGGGGGCCUGCACAAGCGGUGGAGCAUGUGGUUUAAUUCGAAGCAACGCGCAGAACCUUACCAGCGUUUGACAUCCCGCGCUACCCAGAGAGAUUUGGGG
rnacentral:rRNA from 1 species